UUCCGGUUGAUCCUGCCGGAUCCUACUGCUAUCGGGAUGAGACUAAAACAUGCUGGUUGUGCGCACCCAAGCUAUGUUGGGAGCGCAGCGAACGGCUCUGUAACACGUUGUCAAUCUGACCUUAGGAUAGGAAUAACCCCGGGAAACUGGGGCUAAUACCUUAUAGGCGAAAAAAUCUGGAAUGAUUUUUCACUCAAAGAGUUAUAGAAACAUGCUUCUUUAACCGCCUAAGGAUGAGACUGCGUCCGAUCAGGUUGUUGGUGGGGUGAUGGCCUACCAAGCCUAUAACCGGUACGGGCCCUGAGAGGGGGAGCCCGGAGAUGGGAACUGAGACAAGGUCCCAGACCCUACGGGGUGCAGCAGUUGCGAAACCUCUACAAUGCACGAAAGUGUGAUAGGGUUAUCCCGAGUGCCGUCCGAUGAGGAUGGCUUUUACCUGGUGUAAGGAGCCAGGAGAAUAAAGGGGGGGCAAGACUGGUGUCAGCCGCCGCGGUAAUACCAGCCCCCUGAGUGGUAGGGAUGAUUAUUUGGCCUAAAACGUCCGUAGCCGGCUCAGCAAGUCUUUCGUUAAAUCCGGUGACUUAAUCAUCGGGCCGCGAGAGAUACUACUAGGCUUGAGGGCGGGAGAGGUCGACGGUAUUCCGGGG
rnacentral:rRNA from 1 species